GUCUUUUUGAAAAUAAUUUAAAGUCUAAUCUGCCCACUGAAUUAAUUUAAAGGGCUGCAGUAUAUUGACUGUACAAAGGUAGCAUAAUCAAUAGUCUUUUAAUUGAAGACUUGUAUGAAUGAUUUGAUGAGAUAUAAACUGUCUCUUUAUUAUAAAUUGAAAUUAAUUUUUUAGUUAAAAAGCUAAAAUAUAUAUAAAAGACGAGAAGACCCUAUAGAGUUUAAUAAUUUUUAUUAUUUUAAUUUUAUAUAAAAUUUAAAAUUAAAAUAAUAAAAAUUAUUUUGUUGGGGUGAUAAAAAAAUUAAAAAAACUUUUUUUAAAAAAUUUACAUUGAUUUAUGAAUAAAUGAUCCAUAAUUUAUGAUUAAAGGAUUAAAUUACCUUAGGGAUAACAGCGUAAUUUUUUUUUUUAGUUCAAAUAAAAAUUAAAGUUUGCGACCUCGAUGUUGAAUUAAGAUAAAAUUUAAAUGCAAAAGUUUAAAAUUUUGAUCUGUUCGAUCAUUAAAAUCUUACA
rnacentral:rRNA from 1 species